rnacentral:rRNA from 1 species
GAUGAACGCCGGCGGCGUGCCUAAUACAUGCAAGUCGAGCGAACAGACGAGGAGCUUGCUCCUUUGACGUUAGCGGCGGACGGGUGAGUAACACGUGGGUAACCUACCUAUAAGACUGGGAUAACUUCGGGAAACCGGAGCUAAUACCGGAUAAUAUUUCGAACCGCAUGGUUCGAUAGUGAAAGAUGGAUCUGCUAUCACUUAUAGAUGGACCUGCGCCGUAUUAGCUAGUUGGUAAGGUAACGGCUUACCAAGGCAACGAUACGUAGCCGCACUGAGAGGGUGAUCGGCCAGACUGGAACUGAGACACGGUCCAGACUCCUACGGGAGGCAGCAGUAGGGAAUCUUCCGGAAUGGGCGAAAGCCUGACGGAGCAACGCCGCGUGAGUGAUGAAGGUCUUCGGAUCGUAAAACUCUGUUAUUAGGGAAGAACAAACGUGUAAGUAACUGUGCACGUCUUGACGGUACCUAAUCAGAAAGCCACGGCUAACUACGUGCCAGCCGCCGCCGUAA